rnacentral:tRNA from 1 species
AGUCUUAUAUUCAAUAAUGAUAUAAAAUUGCAAAUUUUAAGGUGUAUUAAUAUUACUAAGGCUU